UUGAAACACUGCUUCUAGUAUGAUCUCUGAAGUUAAGCAAUGUUGAGACUGUUCAGUACCUAGAUGGGUGACUGCUUGGGAAUACCAGUUACUGUAAG